CAAUAGCGUAUAUUAAAGUUGUUGCGGUUAAAAAGCUCGUAGUUGGAUUUCUGCCGAGGACGACCGGUCCGCCCUCUGGGUGUGUAUCUGGUUUGGCCUGGGCAUCUUCUUGGAGAACGUAGCUGCACUUGACUGUGUGGUGCGGUGUCCAGGACUUUUACUUUGAGGAAAUUAGAGUGUUCAAAGCAGGCAUCGCCGUUGAAUACAUUAGCAUGGAAUAAUAAGAUAAGACUUUGGUGGUCUAUUUUGUUGGUUUGCACGCCAAAGUAAUGAUUAAUAGGGAUAGUUGGGGGUAUUCGUAUUCUAUUGCUAGAGGUGAAAUUCUUAAAUUUAUGGAAGACGAACUACUGCGAAAGCAUUUACCAAGGAUGUUUUCAUUAA
rnacentral:rRNA from 1 species